rnacentral:lncRNA from 1 species
UAGGCCUAGUGUUUUAGUACCCCUGUCCACUGAGGAAAGAGUUGCAGCUUUCAUCAAAGAAACUGAUGAUCUAAAAGUUGAGACUGCAUCACAUGGAUGAGCAAGGCUGCUUUGUCUGGACAAAAAUGAACCCUCCAAGGCUCCAACAGCCUCAUCACACAGAAACUCGAGGAACCGGAAGCAGGAAGGGGGACCGACAGAUGAACGGAUGACCUACUUGCUGGGCUUCCAAUUACUGAUUCUUGAAAGAAAUGAGGACCACUGACUGAUGAGGGCAUUGUCUUACUGAGAUGAGGAUGAGCCUGCCUCAAGCCAUCGUAAGCUGGGAGGACCGACGAUUGACUGACACCGCCUGCUGGCCUGGCCAUUUCUGAUUCUUGAGGACAUGAGGAUCACCAAGCUUGGACGAGUCUGGAUAAUGACGAAGCUGCUCUACUGGACAAGGAUGCCCUCAUCGGAAAUUUGAGUUGAAAAAAACUAGCUUGCACAAUAUGAAAUAAUAAAUCGACUGCAUAAUGCAACGUCAUUAAUGUUAUACACUAAGGCAACAACACUAAAAUAAAAUGAAAAGUAAUUUUGAUUUCAUUAAAUUAUUUAUGCCUCUAAAAUAAUCUUAAACCGGAUACUGCAACAGACAGUUAACAAUGGACAAUAAUGGAAACUUGCUGGAAAAUUAUUGUAAGGGUAAUGAUUUGUCACUGGCUUUUCAGCAGUGACAUGUCUGGGAAAAGGGAUGUUCCUUUGAUCUGUCCUGGGUCAUCCAAAAUUAUUGCAUCAAUAAGUUAAUAAUUUCAUACUCCUUACCUUUAGUGCAUCCAAUUGGAUCUUCUCGGUAAAUUAUAAACGAGGUCUCCCCUAACGCUUUCUAUUUGCUUUUUGUUCAGUUGACAAUGAGAAUUUUGCUCUAUAAAUUUAAUUUGAUAUUGAAAGUGCAAUUUUAAGAAAACCAAUUUAAGUUUUAAGAGUUUUGAAAGAUUUCAAAAAUGAUUGAUUUAUUGUUUAAAAACUGAAGAAAUGUAACACACUUUAUUUAAAUUUAACGUCUUUAACAAGACGUCGGUUUAACUAAAACGUGACUUUCUUUCCAUUGUAUAUUUAUUAGAAAACACAAGAACGUUUAAUGUUUAGGAAAAUUUAAAGAAUAAACUGUUCAGGAACUUCUAUCCAUCGAAAUGCAUUGCAACAGGUAUGAGUGACACUCAAAUUACAUUUGUGUUUAUCCUUUUGUGAUUUAUUUCAUUGCACUUUUUUUAUUUGUUAUAUUUUUACUUCGUAUGCACAAUUGUUUUUCUUGGUGGUUUUGCAUGUCUUUUCAUUUUCUUAUUAAUAACUAACCUCACAAAAGGAUAAACGCAAUAUAUAUCGAGUGUUGAACUUGCCUGGCAUCAAAUAGCUAAAUUAGACAAAAUAUAGUCCUGAAAUGUUUCAAAAUAAUCUAGGAAUUUUUUUUGGAGGGGGGCAUUCUCAAGUUUUAUCUUCCCUUUUAAAAAUCUUAUUCACAAAAUGGCGAAAUACAAAAACCUGGAUUUACCGUGUACAGUCAUGUAGUCGUUGCUUAUGUAAUAAUCAUCUAUGAUAUUAUAAAGUGAUUAUUAAUUUCUCAAAUUUAUUGGCCUUCUGCCCAACUUUUCCCCUCAUUUGGAAUCUUUUGUAUUUGUUUGUAUGAAUUGGUUAAAUAUUUGUAUGUCAAUAAGACUAAGGAAUUAAACAAAAUAAAUAAAACUUGAAAGAUGUGAGACACUUGA